ACGGUUAUAAAUCAACAUAUUGAUUUAUAAGCAUGGAAAUCCCCUGAGUGAAACAACGAAUUGCUGUGUGUAGUCUUUGCCCAUCUCCCACGAUGGGCUUAUUUUUAA
rnacentral:other from 1 species